rnacentral:misc_RNA from 1 species
AGAAAACUAACAAUUAUUAGAUAUCCAACGCCCUAGCCAGUAGCCAUAGACUAUUCCAAUUAAAAUUGCCAUAUCACUUAAAUGCUAUUGAAUUAAAUUUAAAAAAUUUGAAAUUUAAAUUGAGUGAUUAAAAUUAAAUUACUUAUUUUUCCUUAACGGCCAAACCCGUUGUUGCCAGUCAUACCACCGUUCCGUCCACUUUUGCAAGUGAUCCUCAUCCUUGUCGUCUUCACGCCACUGCUAUUCAUCAAUCUCGAGUUGACUACGGCGUGCUUGGUAAGUGGUGUGGAACCACAUGGGAUUUUUUAUUCGCAGCUCAUGCCAAAGUAGAAUGGUUGGUCGAGAAAGACGGGGUAUUUGCGGCGACACUCAUGCCACAGAUACUAUGAACGGCAAUAUGGUUGGGGUAAUUUUACCAAGGAAUUCAAG